GCACAUAUUGUGAGCUUGAUGAGUAGGGCGGGACACGUGGUAUCCUGUCUGAAUAUGGGGGGACCAUCCUCCAAGGCUAAAUACUCCUGACUGACCGAUAGUGAACCAGUACCGUGAGGGAAAGGCGAAAAGAACCCCGGCGAGGGGAGUGAAAAAGAACCUGAAACCGUGUACGUACAAGCAGUGGGAGCACGCUUAGGCGUGUGACUGCGUACCUUUUGUAUAAUGGGUCAGCGACUUAUAUUCUGUAGCAAGGUUAACCGAAUAGGGGAGCCGAAGGGAAACCGAGUCUUAACUGGGCGUUAAGUUGCAGGGUAUAGACCCGAAACCCGGUGAUCUAGCCAUGGGCAGGUUGAAGGUUGGGUAACACUAACUGGAGGACCGAACCGACUAAUGUUGAAAAAUUAGCGGAUGACUUGUGGCUGGGGGUGAAAGGCCAAUCAAACCGGGAGAUAGCUGGUUCUCCCCGAAAGCUAUUUAGGUAGCGCCUCGUGAAUUCAUCUCCGGGGGUAGAGCACUGUUUCGGCA
rnacentral:rRNA from 1 species